AUUGAACGCUGGCGGAAUGCUUUACACAUGCAAGUCGAACGGCAGCACGGACUUCGGUCUGGUGGCGAGUGGCGAACGGGUGAGUAAUACAUCGGAACGUGCCCAAUCGUGGGGGAUAACGUAGCGAAAGCUACGCUAAUACCGCAUACGAUCUAAGGAUGAAAGCGGGGGAUCGCAAGACCUCGCGCGAUUGGAGCGGCCGAUGGCAGAUUAGGUAGUUGGUAGGGUAAAGGCCUACCAAGCCGACGAUCUGUAGCUGGUCUGAGAGGAUGAUCAGCCACACUGGGACUGAGACAGGGCCCAGACUCCUACGGGAGGCAGCAGUGGGGAAUUUUGGACAAUGGACGCAAGUCUGAUCCAGCCAUUCCGCGUGCAGGAUGAAGGCCCUCGGGUUGUAAACUGCUUUUGUACAGAACGAAAAGGCUCUGGUUAAUACCUAGGGCUCAUGACGGUACCCAAAGAAUAAGCACCGGCUAACUUCGUGCCAGCAGCCGCAGUAA
rnacentral:rRNA from 1 species